UAACAGAAAUCAUAUAAAUCUUAUCAUCUAUUUUAACAUCAUUCCAUGUUCUUUCUUGUUUAUAUUGAUCAGCAAUCAUUUUUUCUGACAUUUCCAACAAGUUUUUAAUAAUGCAGAAUGUACAUUCAAUAUAAUAUUGCCAUCUCUCAAUCCAGCAUAACCUACAUUACUAACAUGAGAUCAUAAUUUUUCUACGAUGAUGCCACAGCAUAGAUAAAUAAUUAAAUGGAUGAACGCUGCAACUUACGGAACAUCGUGUGAUAUGUUCUGAAUUACGGUGCAAUUCAGAAACCUAUGUCAAUAAUCGCGAAUAUUUGUUUUGUUUCUGAAGCAGUGAGUUGACAUAUACAUUGCCGCACAAAAUUGUGAGUUCAUUGUUUCUUUGAAGUUAUUUUAACCCCUUGGCCUAUAACCACGAGUGAGACAUAAUCGCGACAUAAUGAGUACUUAAAAUUACGUUUUUGACAACAUAUCCAAAAAUCAUCGAAAUCGGCGGAAAACAUCCCAAACUAAAUAAUUACCAAAAUUAUUUUCGCAAUAUCAAAGGUAAACAUUAAAUAUAACAAAAUAUAUUGAAUCUAUUAGAUUUUGAGGGACAAAAUUGUGAGCACACUCACAAACAGUGUUCUAUUAUCAAUUUAGCAGCACGUUUAGUGAUGUCAAAGUCACAUGACUAACAUCUGGAGAAUCUCUGUAAAGUUGGUAUUGGAUUUUAUUUGAAUUAUAAUCUAAGAGCAAGUAUUCUAAGAAACGUAAGAAUGCAAAGAAACAGGAAUGAAACAAAUAUUAUCGAAAGAAAAUUGAUAUUAAAAUUAUAUAAUAAACAUAAAUCCUAUAGACAAAUUGGAAAUAUAAUAGAACGAAGUUAGUAGUAGCGAAACCGAAUGCGACGAAGUAAUCCGUUUCAUUUGUAUUCUUUGUUAUGAGACUUGGUUAAUCAAGGACGUACUGAAACCAGAGCGUCGCUGUUGCCAUAACUACAGAGCCGAGCGCCGCGAGUGGAUUUCUCCCUUUGUCACUAAUUCCUACAGAAAACAGUGCAGCUCCCAUGUCUACAGCCGCGACCACCGAGUUAAAAAUGCACAGGGGCAAGGGAAACCGGCCGCACACUUCAACAGGGUCUUUUCAGGAAACACAGUAGCCAAGUCUCCGUACAACCUGUAUCAAAAACUUCAACACAACAUACAAGAAAAACGCCGAACUUAAUUCAAAUUUCAAAUAACUUACCUAACGUACGAGCACGGAGAAUAUUUAACAAAGGUAAAACUCCACGUUUUCAAGAACCACAGUUCAUUGCACAUGCGUACAAAACUGGUGUUGUUCAAUGAAUGUAGUUCUUAAGUUUUGCGAUAUCGACUUGUCCAUUUCUUUUGCGUAUAAUUUUCUUUUCUCUAUAUUUUAUCUAAGUAGUAAUCCAUAGAAGGUAAUGCCAAUUUUAAAUGGUACAAGAUCACAAUAUGAACACAUGUAAUUAUUUCGCGUCUGUAACUCGCAAGUUCUCUAGAGCAGAAAUGUCCAUAUAACUUACUCCCCUCACGCUAGUAACUCGGAAACAGCGUUCCCCCACUUCCUCUACUCAGAGUUACCCGAUAUUGUGUAUAUGAGCAGUUCUAUAUAGUAGUGUUCAAACACAGGUAAAGAUAGGUAUAAAGAUUGUAACUUUUCGCGAGGGGAACGAUCCUAGAGAGUUCAACACCUCUGAUUUGUAAAACAAAUGCAUGAAUAGAAACAUUUGCAUUCAUGAAUCAAUGAAUAUUGCAUUUUUGUAAUAUUAUAUUUGACAAAUACUAUUUUGAACAUUCAAAUUACGUACAACUCCCGCCAAAAAAUCCAACAGUUUUAGUCAAUUGUGGUAGUUUUGUAGUAGAUACAUAUAGAAAUGAGCUUCAUAUGUUAAAUAAUGGAGAUUAACAUGAGUAGAGCCGCUUUUUUGUUGGGGAGGAGUUGUUCGAAACAUCAAUUUUUACAAUAUCAUCAAUGUUAUCAAACUCGAUUUA